AUGGCGGCCACCACGGUGGCGGGUUUGGCGACGGUGGCCCAGCUGGCUUUGUAUGUCCACGGGCUUGUCACGAAGAUUACCACGGCGGCGGACACGGCCCGGCAGAACAAGCUGGAGUGCCAGAACCUGGCGCGCCGCGUAUCCGUGAUCGGCGACCUGCUGGUGCAGCUGCAGGACCCGGGGGUGGCGCAACCGCUGGCCGGGCUGGGCGACACGCUCCAGGAGGCGCACGAUCUCGUCGUUGCUUGCCAGAAAUGGAGCGUGCGCCGGAAGUUCUUGUACGCCGACGACCAGGCAGAGAGGUUCAGGGAAGUCAACCGCAGGAUCGACUCCCACCUCAUCCUUAUCCCCUUGCUCAGCCACAUCUCCAUUGCCCGCCGCCUCGACCAGGUCGUUCCUCCGAAUCCUACCAGCGUUCUUCUACCGGCGGCACCACCAACAAUGGUUGCUGCAUCUGCUAUGGCGUCAGGCUCCGGCUCGCGCUCUUUGCAGCUGCAGGAGUCUGCGACGGUCCAGUAUGUGAGCUCAACGUAUGUACCCGUGGAGUUCGCGUCGGCGGAGAUCGCGUUCUUGACCGGAAACUUCGGCCAUGUGCUCACCGAGGACGGCUCCGCGACGGUGUACAAAGGUCGUCUUCACGACGGCCAGGAGGUGGCCGUCAAGAGCCUGAAGAAUCACGGGCCGCAACGCCACGAACAAGAGGGCGCGUUCGUGGCGGAGCUCGAGACCAUCUGCCACCUCCGUCACGACCACAUCGUGCCCCUUGUGGGCUGGUGCGCGGAGGACGACGACCGCAUGUUCGUCUACCAGUACCAGCACACGAGCAACGGCACGCUCAGGGACCACCUGAUGCAGGGCGGAAGCCGCGGCUCCGUGAUACGAUCCUAA
rnacentral:rRNA from 1 species